rnacentral:rRNA from 1 species
UACGUAGGGGGCAAGCGUUGUCCGGAUUUAUUGGGCGUAAAGAGCGUGUAGGCGGCCAUGCAGGUCAGCUGUGAAAACUCGAGGCUCAACCUCGAGACGUCGGUUGAAACCGUAUGGCUAGAGUCCGGAAGAGGAGAGUGGAAUUCCCGGUGUAGCGGUGAAAUGCGUAGAUAUCAGGAGGAACACCUGUGGUGUAGACAGCUUUCUGAACCAUUGCUGACGCUGAGACACGAAAGCGUGGGUAGCAAACAGG